UUUUGAAAUAGAAGUUUUCGAAAGUUUUCGAAAAUUUUCGAGUUCGAGAAAAUUCGAGGCCAGCAAAGCCGUCAAAGAGAAGCCCGCCGACGACAGUGUGACAGUGUCGCGUCGCGGAGUGAAAAAGUGACAGAGCAACCUAUCUAGCUAGGUGUAACGACCUUCCACGCUCGCGUACGCGCCGGGGGAAAGCGAGCAGAGACUUGUGCCGCUUGUUGACCGAGUGUCUUCAAGCCCAGUCUGGCAGAGGGCUUCCGGUCAUUCGAGGAGCGUAUGCAACGAGUGGGCCCGUUGUAACGCUUCAGCUAGUCCCUCUUUCACCCCCUCCUCCCCGACGACUUCACCCCCGAAGAGAGAAGAGGCCGGAGGAGGAGGAGGAGGAGGAGGUAGCAGGGGUGCAGGCUGCGACUGGAUGCAGGAGGAGUAAGGGGGAUCGCGCAGACAUCCUCCUCCCCCUCC